GUUUAAUGUCAGACAAUAUUUUCAGGGAACGACCUUUAAGGUGUCGCGGAUAAAUACAACAAAAGAAUAAAAAAGAAACUGUGGUAUUUUGUAAAUAUAAUAAUAAAGGUGACUUGAGCUGUGCGCCAACAACACAGUGACAUCCUCCUCUCUGCUUCUUAAUGCUCUCUGGUCGCUAUGGUAACGCGUAAAUAGUUAUUUCAAAAUAAGACACACAACUACAACCAUACAUUUCACACCGGAGCCUCAACUCUCGCGGAACGGUACCGGUCCGUGGGCCUAUUAGGGGCCGCUACUGUACAGGAGACACUGGACUAGAUUGAUUGACAAUGGUCUACAGCAAUCAGAACGCACAACACGAUGUACUGUAAAAAAAAUAAUAAAAUCAGUGAAACAGCGAGUGUCGCGGAAGGUGCGCCACGUUAUAGCACUUUUGGCCACGAACAAUUUAGGGGAUGGUGAAUUUUUUUGAACAAACCCAGAGUGUUAAAACCCCCCACUUAAAACCAUUUUUAUUUCUCAGCAGCAUCAAUAGUAACAAAAACGCAAUUUAGUUUUCGCUGUCAAAGUCGAUUUAACUGAAGUUACGUGUUUCCGGUUAGUGUGGAGGUCACGUGUAUCCGGUUACUGUGGAGCUCCACAGUGGCUGCAGCCAGGUGCUCGGGUGAGCUAUGACAGCGAUAUAAACCCCUCAGACUUCAUUCAAAAUGUGGGUGUUUGAUGGAGAGUUGCGGUUAGUGAGAGUUUGGAGAGAGUUUGGAGGUUUAGGAGAGUGAGGAGAGAAAGUCAGGAGAGAAUGGAGCCAGCUAAGAAGAGGAGGAUGUCCUCCCCUGUGUGGGAACAUUUUGAUCUUAUUCCUCCCAACAAGGUGAAGUGUUUGCUAUGUGCCAGGGAGCUGGGAUAUAACAACAACACCUCAUCCAUGCUUAGGCACUACAGAGCUUUGCAUGAGAAUAAGGGGAACACCGACUGUGGAGCAAGACCAGGUGAGCCAUCAAAUGCCAUGAUAAUAUAGCAUGCAGUCAUGUUAGUAAAUGAUAUAACAAUAUUAUACAAGUGUAAUAAAUUACGUAAGUUAUGUGUGUGAUAUUUAUAUUUGUGCUUUGUUUUUAUUGUCUUUCCUCAGGAGAACAAUCUCAAAUAGAUGAAGACCUGGUUAGCAUGGUGAUAGAGGACUCCCAGCCAUUUAGCAUUGUGGAGGACAAAGGAUUUAAAAGAUUUGUUAAAUCAGUAAAUCCUAGCACUAAAAAGGUCAUAAAAGCAGUGAAAAUUUAGUUUUUACAGAAUAAAAUGUGAACAGGCAGGACUGAGGCUCAAAUCCUCAGUGUGUAGCUGUCCAUACCUCAACGUUAAUAAAGCACAACCACUGUCCAUACCCCAACCACACCUCACCUCACAGUAAAUGAUCAUUUCCAUUUUAAGCAUUUCCAAAUAAUCAUAUUCCAUACUGCCAGUAUAAAUAUACACAGUAUACUGUCAUAACUACAAUAUACAUUUUUUACACACUCCUUUUGUUGCUGACAUUUACAGGCUGUGUGCAAAAUGCCACACUCUUCAAAUUAAUGCCAACUAAUAUUUUUACGUCCAGUAGAUGUCCUACUAGAGCAAAUGAAGCUUCAAGAAGCUUUGCGUUGGGGUGAACCAAUUGGAUGAAAAGCUUCAGUGCUUCAUGAAGCUUCAUCUGCCCAUCACUACACAGCAGGCCUUUUCCACACCUAGGCUGGAAACACACACUGACCAGCACAGAGGAAAACCACCAGAAACCUCUCCCACUGCUCCUACCACUCCACACCGUAGGCAGGACAAUCACACACAUAACACGCAACGCAGAGACACCAGAGAAAGCCACCCUCCCACAUUCAGUCCAUCCCCAGCUUAUAUAACCUCAGAGAGGUGAUUGAUGACUGGGCCCAGGUGGUAAAUGAGGCCAAUGAGCAGCAGCUGUGUCCUGAGGAGAGAGAAGAAGCGAGAGAGAGACAGAGGGGUGGAGCAAGAGAGGAGGAGGCGGAGAAAAACACCACGCCCACACAAGGGCAGUAUCAGGAGGCCCAGCUAGGGCCGUUACACAACACAUCCAAGAUUUGCCAUCCUUUCAAGGAUUCCAGCACUGUCAACACAACGCAUGUAAUCCCAUACUCUGUUCCACUGCACCCUGUGGACCAAGUGCCCUGAGGCAUCCUUUAACCAUUCUGUAGCCUAAAAAGACAUUCCAUAGUGAAACAAUUACAACAGCACAUUGGAAGGCACGUAUAGUACAGUAAAUCAAACUACUAACUAAUCAUGACAUUCAGCUAGUGUUAUUCAUGUAAAUAUGAAAGGUUGCUAGCAAGAAAAAUAAAAUAGAAUCUUAUUACAAGCA